rnacentral:rRNA from 1 species
CGAACGCUGGCGGCGUGCUUAACACAUGCAAGUCGAACGGAAAGGCCUGCUUUCCCUUGUGGAUUGCGGGUACUCGAGUGGCGAACGGGUGAGUAACACGUGAGUGAUCUGCCCCCAACUUGGGUAUAAGCCUGGGAAACUGGGUCUAAUUCCCGAUAGGACUGCAGGGUGGUGCCUGUGGUGGAAAACGAUUUUCUCGUGGUUGGGGAUGAGCUCGCGGCCUAUCAGCUUGUUGGUGGGGUAAUGGCCUACCAAGGCGGCGACGGGUAGCCGGCCUGAGAGGGUGGACGGCCACAUUGGGACUGAGAUACGGCCCAGACUCCGACGGGAGGCAGCAGUGGGGAAUAUUGCACAAUGGGCGGAAGCCUGAUGCAGCGACGCAGCGUGGGGGAUGACGGCCUUCGGGUUGUAAACUCCUUUCGACCGCGAGGAAGCCACCUGGUUGGAAGGGUGGUGACGGUAGUGGUAGAAGAAGCACCGGCUAACUACGUG